rnacentral:misc_RNA from 1 species
AACCAUAGAAACCUGCGGAGUACCUGCGGAGGGAUCAUUACAGAGUUGCAAAACUCCCUAAACCAUUGUGAACGUUACCUAAACCGUUGCUUCGGCGGGCGGCCCGGGUCCUUCCCGGCGCCCAUCGGCCCUCGCGGGCGCCCGCCGGAGGUAAACCAAACUAUUGCAUUGUAUGGCCUCUCUGAGUCUUCUGUACUGAAUAAGUCAAAACUUUCAACAACGGAUCUCAGAUCGGAAGAG